rnacentral:rRNA from 1 species
AUUGAACGCUGGCGGCAUGCUUUACACAUGCAAGUCGAACGGCAGCGCGGGCUUCGGCCUGGCGGCGAGUGGCGAACGGGUGAGUAAUGCAUCGGAACGUGCCCAGUAGUGGGGGAUAGCCCGGCGAAAGCCGGAUUAAUACCGCAUACGACCUGAGGGUGAAAGCGGGGGACCGAAAGGCCUCGCGCUAUUGGAGCGGCCGAUGUCGGAUUAGCUAGUUGGUGGGGUAAAGGCUUACCAAGGCGACGAUCCGUAGCUGGUCUGAGAGGACGACCAGCCACACUGGGACUGAGACACGGCCCAGACUCCUACGGGAGGCAGCUGUGGGGAAUUUUGGACAAAGGGGGCAACCCUGAUCCAGCCAUGCCGCGUGCGGGAAGAAGGCCUUCGGGUUGUAAACCGCUUUUGUUCGGGAAGAAAUCCUCUGGGCUAAUACCCCGGGGGGAUGACGGUACCGGAAGAAUAAGCACCGGCUAACUACGUG